rnacentral:tRNA from 1 species
UUCCACUUGGUAAGGAUGUCUCGGGCCAGAUUAUUAGUGCUAAUCUGGCAGACAUGCCCCACCUUUUAAUCGCCGGUUCCACCGGUAGCGGGAA